rnacentral:rRNA from 1 species
GAUGAACGCUGGCGGCGUGCUUAACACAUGCAAGUCGAACGAUGAAGCCCAGCUUGCUGGGUGGAUUAGUGGCGAACGGGUGAGUAACACGUGAGUAACCUGCCCUUGACUCUGGGAUAAGCCUGGGAAACUGGGUCUAAUACUGGAUAUGACUUCUCAUCGCAUGGUGGGGGGUGGAAAGAUUUAUUGGUCUUGGAUGGACUCGCGGCCUAUCAGCUUGUUGGUGAGGUAAUGGCUCACCAAGGCGACGACGGGUAGCCGGCCUGAGAGGGUGACCGGCCACACUGGGACUGAGACACGGCCCAGACUCCUACGGGAGGCAGCAGUGGGGAAUAUUGCACAAGGGGCGCAAGCCUGAUGCAGCGACGCCGCGUGAGGGAUGACGGCCUUCGGGUUGUAAACCUCUUUCAGUAGGGAAGAAGCGAGAGUGACGGUACCUGCAGAAGAAGCGCCGGCUAACUACGU